GGGAAUGAGGCUUAGUGGUAAGAGUACUUGCCUAGCAUGCAUGAAGCCUUGGGUUCAAUUCCUCAGUACCA
rnacentral:tRNA from 1 species